rnacentral:miRNA from 1 species
ACACAGGUCCCUGGAAGCUUGUUAAAGUGCAGAUGCUGACUCGGCGGGGUUGGUCCCUGAGAUUCUGCAUUCCUGUCAAGCUCCCAGGAGAUGCCCAG